rnacentral:rRNA from 1 species
GGAAAGGCGGGGGAAGGAUGGGGGGUAAUGAGGAGGGUGAAAGAAAGAAGCGGAUUUGUUGGGCGGAAAGGGCGAGGAGGCGGCAAUAUAAGUCAGAUUUGAAAGCCCGGGGCUCAACCUCGGAACAGCAUUUGAAACGAUAUAGCUAGAGGGUGGUAGGAGAAAACGGAAUUCCACAAGUAGCGGUGAAAUGCGUAGAUAUGUGGAAGAACACCGGUGGCGAAGGCGGUUUUCUAGAUUAUUCCUGACGCUAAAGCGCGAAAGCAAGGGGAUCAAACAGGAUUAGAUACCCGGUUAGUC